GACCUAAACCAGUAGCUUCAAACUCUGGCAUGGUCGAAAAUCGUUGAGAACAAACAACCCGUCAUUCAGGGCGUUCUCAACGUUAUAAGGGGAAACUCUUAUAGAGGUCUUCGGACCUU
rnacentral:sRNA from 1 species